rnacentral:lncRNA from 1 species
UUUCCUUAAGUUCUCCUUUUAUGAAAAAAGCACAGACUCCACCCACGCUGUUUAAGCCCAGGUCUGAGCCAUGGGCUCUGCCCGGCUCACUGCUGUAGUCUCCCUGCAGGGAGGCAGAGAGAAACCCCGGCGAGCAGUGGCCCAGCUGACAGCGUCACUGCAGUAAGGGCAGAGUGACAGAGAAGGAAGAGGGAUAACACCUGCGGUGAAACUCACCACUCCGGGCUGAUCCCAGGAGGACUAUCUACUGGGUGGAGAACUCCCUGUGCCGUGCCGCAGAUUCAAAAGCAGAGGAAUUAUUUCAAGAUAAUGUCAAAAACUCAGUGGCAACGAUGAAUCGUGGAAGAUUUCUUUCAAUUUUGUCCGAAAUCUUUGCCUCUGCUGACGCCCAAGGAAAUGGUAAGGAUUCAGCAAAAUAACAGACGGAAAUUCUUAUCUGGCAAUUGUUCGCUUAAAAGCCAGU